rnacentral:ncRNA from 1 species
CUUCCGCCCUCCCCGCACAGGAGGACGGAUCGAGGUAAGCCGCGCACUCUGCCCUGACUGCGCAGGCACCUCCCACCGGCCGCCGGGAACCGCACACCCUGUGGCCGUAAGUACUCCGGGCUACGGUGCCGGACGGGCUGAGGGUCCCGUCCCGGCAC